rnacentral:rRNA from 1 species
UGGGGAAUAUUGCACAAUGGGCGCAAGCCUGAUGCAGCGACGCCGCGUGAGGGAUGGAGGCCUUCGGGUUGUAAACCUCUUUCGCCAGUGAAGCAGGCCAUCUUCUUUGUGGGGUGGUUGACGGUAGCUGGAUAAGAAGCGCCGGCUAACUACGUGCCAGCAGCCGCGGUAAUACGUAGGGCGCGAGCGUUGUCCGGAAUUAUUGGGCGUAAAGAGCUCGUAGGCGGCUGGUCGCGUCUGUCGUGAAAUCCCCUGGCGUGACUGGGGGAUUGCGGUGGGUACGGGCCGGCUUGAGUGCGGUGGGGGGGACUGGGAUUCCUGGUGUGGCGGUGGAAUACGCAGAUAUAAGGAGGAACACCGGUAGCGAAGGCGGGUCUCUGGGCCGUUACUGACGCUGAGGAGCGAAAGCGUGGGGAGCGAACAGG